rnacentral:rRNA from 1 species
GACGAACGCUGGCGGCGUGCUUAACACAUGCAAGUCGAACGAGGAGCGAUGGAAGCUUGCUUCUAUCAAUCUUAGUGGCGAACGGGUGAGUAACGCGUAAUCAACCUGCCCUUCAGAGGGGGACAACAGUUGGAAACGACUGCUAAUACCGCAUACGAUCUAAUCUCGGCAUCGAGGAUAGAUGAAAGGUGGCCUCUACAUGUAAGCUAUCACUGAAGGAGGGGAUUGCGUCUGAUUAGCUAGUUGGAGGGGUAACGGCCCACCAAGGCGAUGACCAGUAGCCGGUCUGAGAGGAUGAACGGCCACAUUGGGACUGAGACACGGCCCAGACUCCUACGGGAGGCAGCAGUGGGGAAUCUUCCGCAAUGGACGAAAGUCUGACGGAGCAACGCCGCGUGAGCGAUGACAGCCUUCGGGUUGUAAAGCUCUGUUAAUCGGGACGAAAGGCCUUCUUGCGAAUAGUGAGAAGGAUUGACGGUACCGGAAUAGAAAGCCACGGCUAACUACGUG